CCGCAUUAUUACAAAUGCUAAUAGCUGGAAGCUUGGAUAAUGUGAUGUGAGGCACCCCACUGCUAAUCUAAUCAGAAAACGUAACAGGAUCUGUGCCAGUGAAUCAUUUCUGAAAGAAAUCUGGUACAUGCUGCGUGGAACAUAUCGACGAAGCACACAAACGCAUCUUAAAAAAAACACAACUGGAGACGGUGUAAGACGACAUCUCUGCCAAUCCAUUCCAUCCCGAUGACGCUCUUGGUCGACCACGUGACAGGAUUACGUUGAAAUAUCUUUUAUUGCAACUGAAGGCUGACAGACAGUUCAACACACCCACCAACUGACUGGGCCGCUGCAUUGAUCGGUACCACGACAGGAGAGUCGGGCGAGGUGCAUCCUGCUUUUUACCUGUAUUCUGGGCGCUGGUUAAAUCAAUUUUGUGAUUGGGUGAAGGAAACAGUGCUUGUAUCAAGUCCCAUUAACACUCCAUUUCUCUGGGAAAUUAUUGUAACAACCAGCAUUGCAUUUCUGAUUGGGGAUGGGGAAAGCGAGGAUGACAUGUCGACCUGGAAGUCAUCUCCCAAACCGCACCCCCCCCCCCAAAUGUUAGUUGCAAUAAAGUAUGACCCAGAAGUUAGAAUAAACAGCUGGUGACGGAGACCAGAAAUAAACAAAUCCAAUCUUAUUUGUUGAUAAAUCCCGCCGAAUGGAAGUAAUUGACAAGCAUUGCACGUUUAUUUUAAAGGCACUCGUUUAUCUGAUGAAGUUACUAAACAGAAAAACUCUCCUGGGAUUACAGACACAGAGUCUUAGCGGAUGCAAAUUACAUUACACGUGACCCUCCCUUAAUCAUGGUUCUCCCCACCGUCACACUCUGUCUCCACCUUUCAAAAAAAAAGGACCUCACUAAUUAUUCGCUACUCGGUCUUUGGCCAGCAGUGGGACACUCAAAGGUUGGAGGUCACAGCGCUUCACCGGAGUGUUCCUGUCGGAGUCAAAACAUUACUUAACUCUCGCGGUGGAUCAGAUUUAUUGCCUAUGCUAUCCCGCAACUACAAACAACAAGGAGCCAGCUUGCUUUUCCUGAUCAUUAGGUCUUAGAUUAUCACAGCGAAAAAAAACUCACGUCUACUAAAUAGCUUGAAAACAAAUUGUACAGGUAAACUGAAUACGGCUGCAUCUUUAAAACUA